ensembl:lncRNA
CCUCAUUAAGCCCUUCAGUGUUAUCUGUGAUCUUUGAAGCAAAUGCUUUGGGUGCUGAUAUGCUAUCUCUGCUGGCAGAGCCUCCUUUCCCCGGCUGUGAGUGUCUCCAACACGUUGCAGCCUGUUUGCUCAGCCUGAUAAUGUCUUCACAUAGGACUUAAUGAACUCAUUACCCUUAAUGCCAUCGUAACAAGAGAGCUUGAUUAAUUAAGGGAGACCUGGAAAUGGCAACUUCAAAGCUGGUAGAAAAACUCAGAAUCUGCUCAGGAAUAAUGGUUACUGUGAAGGCGUUCUCUUUAACAGUGACUUUCUCACUACUUUACUUCAGUACAAAGAAAAUAAAAGAGAGUGGUGCCUGCUGUUAUGAGAGGAAAGGGGAUGGAAAAGAGUGGCAGGAAAAUUAAGCACUUCUCCAUCAAAUUAAAAUACAAUUGCUGAAUCUGCCCUGAAUGACACAUCGCUUUGCAUGAUACGCACCGCACGUGUUAGCACAAGG